UGGGGAAUAUUGCACAAUGGGCGCAAGCCUGAUGCAGCCAUGCCGCGUGUAUGAAGAAGGCCUUCGGGUUGUAAAGUACUUUCAGCGGGGAGGAAGGGAGUAAAGUUAAUACCUUUGCUCAUUGACGUUACCCGCAGAAGAAGCACCGGCUAACUCCGUGCCAGCAGCCGCGGUAAUACGGAGGGUGCAAGCGUUAAUCGGAAUUACUGGGCGUAAAGCGCACGCAGGCGGUUUGUUAAGUCAGAUGUGAAAUCCCCGGGCUCAACCUUGGAACUGCAUCUGAUACUGGCAAGCUUGAUUCUCGUAGAGGGGGGUAGAAUUCCAGGUGUAGCGGUGAAAUGCGUAGAGAUCUGGAGGAAUACCGGUGGCGAAGGCGGCCCCCUGGACGAAGACUGACGCUCAGGUGCGAAAGCGUGGGGAGCAAACA
rnacentral:rRNA from 1 species